rnacentral:lncRNA from 1 species
GAUGCAAAAAGUGCAUAAAAUUAAAACUAAUUAGAACUAAACAGUGAAAGAGUGCGCAAUUCGUGGGUUCAACCCACUACAAUUAUUCAGAGCAUAAUAGAUAGUGAGACUAUGUAAGAGUAGUCAAAGCAACCAAAGUACACUUUUUACAUAAUAGUGAUAAGUUCGUACGUUUAAAAUAGAAGGAAAUGUCAAAACUGCCGAGAUUCCUCGAGUGCCAUAAGAGUACAACUAUCUAGGUCCUAGAGGGGCGGAAAAGCAAAGUUGAGUGGGUCAGCAAAACAAUGCUUAUAAGAAAACCUUUAACUUUGAAAAUACUAACCCCUCGUCGUAAAACAAGUAUAGUUUCCUCAAACAUACUACUCAAGUAUAUAAACGAUAAUUCGAUAAUAUUAAAGCAGUAUAAUAAUCAGAAACAUGCUAAGUAAUGAUGUAUCGAAUGCCAUAGUAAUAAUCAUGUGAUAAUCAAGUAUAGCUAACUGCUUAUCCAUCUAAGCUGACACACAAGUUCGAACAUAUGGUUUCUGACACAAACAGGACUAGGUGUAAUCAAUAUGCUCUAGUACUACGAUCAUGUGAAGACUGGUGCAGAAGCACAUCACAUACAAGUCGGAUUGCCUAGUGCAAUCUACUUGACAGGACUGGCACCUAACUUGGAUCCAAGGCGAGUGAAUGGUGCGGAUGUGAACAUACACGUGAAGGACUGGCCUUGGCCCUAGGGCGAGUACUAACACCAGGUGCAACAAGAUGAGCAUGUACAAAUAUGUAUGAAUGCCAUGACAAUAAUAUCACAACCAUAUAGCAACAUUUAUCACAGUAUAUAUCACAAUAACGAUACUUGGUAAAACAAGCGUAAAAGUGAAGUAAAUACGCAUUUAUGGAAACUAUAAAUAUGUAUAGGUAUAAAACAACUGCCCACUCACAAGUACGUCGCUGGGUCGUAGCCCCCAAGCCUAGCUUGGCCUCAUGCUAGGUAGAGAUGGGAAUAUACAUAUAAGGCUUACAAGAUCCUCACCCCUGGGAGAUGUGGGAUCUUACAAUCCAUGCGAGAAAUCCAACUAAUUCUCAAACGGGAAACUAAGUUUUUAUGGAAAAAAAAAACGUACGAAGUUAAGUACUAUUAACUUCGUACAACAAACAACAUUUUUUGUGCAUCAUGUACAAAAAUGUUUGCAUACAAAUAAAUUAAAUCACAUAAAUUCUUAAACAAAAAUUAACAAAAUUAAUAGAAAUUAAAUUAUUCAAGAAAAUAUACCUAACUCCAAAUUUGUUUUUCACCUGUAAUCGUAAAAAACAAUACCUAUACAACACAAAUUAUUUUUGUUAGUUUUCUCUCACAAAUAAAAACAUAAUUUAAAAAUUCAAAUCCCUUACCGAAUAUAGCCGGAUGGAUCGAGGAAAUGAUAUGAGGUGGAGAUGGAGGUGGAGGUAGAGGAGAUGAAGAGAGGGAGAUAGAGGGCAAUGAGAGUUAAGGGAGAAAGGAGAGAAGCAGUUUGAAAUUUGUUUUGCAGUUUUUGCCUCUCGCGCUGCUGGAGAAGGGAGAAGGGAGGAGGGAGAAGUGAGAGGGACAGUCUGUCACAUCUCGACUCUGCCAUAGCACGAUAUUGUUCGCUUUGGGCCACGUCCUUGCGGAUUUGUUCCUGGGUAAGAGAACCUCACUACCCAAAAUGCGUCAUGCUAAGAAGAGAGAAGCAUGUACAUAUAAGGCUAGGGACGAACCCCCACCCCGCUAAUGUGGGAUACUACUCAGUCUGCAAAGAUCUCGUCGCGCAAAACAUAUGCCCUCAAAAAUUUUGGCGCCAAUCAUUCGCUUCUCGUGUUUUAAUUGCGCUACGCAAUUAUCAUGGCGCUUUAGUCCCUUUGCGCGGUUCGUCACUUAAUAUAUUGUUUUUUUUUAAAUUACUUCUUUUCACUUAUUUAAAGAAAACAUUAAAGAAAUACUUCAAAAUAUUGUCCGCAAUUGCAUACUUUAAAAAAAAUUAAUAUUCGUCCAUAAAAAUAAAAUAAUACAUCUAUUGUGGUGGUACGUUAGGAAAUUUGGUCUAACUCUGCACGUUGCUCGACAUCAUACUUUCACUCCCGAAAAUACUCCUUGCACAUGUUGUCGAUGAACUUUUUCAGCUUUGGAUAGAUUUCAUCAAUAACAUAAUUACCAUGUUAUGGAAAAAAAUUAAUCAUUAAUCAAUCAUUCCCUAUUUAACAAAAUUAAAUAUUAAUUUACUAAUCCGCACUUAGUGCUAACUCAUCCCACAAAUACUUUUUCAACUACACUAACACCAAUUUCCAAGACUCCCACUCUGUAGGACAAGUAGUCCUCACUAGUACUCCAACGUCAUGCUUCAGCACAGUGUGCGCCUCCGUCCCAUUACUAGUACAUAAAACACUUUGCGCGACGCAGGUCCUUCUUCGCGCAAAGUUAAAAAAACGUCGCGCAAAAAUUAGCCCAAUGAACCUUCCUCAUGCGGUAAUCGUCGCGCCAAGGCAGUGACAAUAGGGUUUGCGCGACGUAGGUUACUUCUUCGUCGCGCAAACCCUUUUUUUUUUUUUUAGGCAAAAAUAUUUUUUAUUUAAUUUUUAAUAAAUAUUGUAAUUAAAUUAUACACAAUAAUUAAUAAACCAAUGGAAAUUGAGGCAAGAAAUAUAUGUUUUUUGGUAAAAUUUCCACUAAGCAUUGUUUAAUGAAUAUUUUGUAUUAUCAUUAAUAAAAACAAACACAUAUAAGAUCGAUGUGGUAAAGUCAAUACAUUCAUUACAAACCUAAGAUAUGUGUUUGAAUAUAUUAACGCACGUCCUGAAACUCCAAAAAUACAAACUUGAAUUCUUUCAAAGACGUGCAGAUAAAAGCAUCUUCCCUUUUGUACAUACAAUGUAUGAAGCUCCUUCAUCACUCCUUCAUAUAGCUUUUUCAUCACUCCUUCAUAUAGCUCCUUCAUGUAUCUCACUACUUCAUGCAGCUCGCUACAGUUUAUGUAGCUCCUUCAUCACUCAUCAUAUCUCACUACACCAAAACCACACAACCACAAGUUUAAUUAUGAUACAAAUAUCACUACACCAAAACCACACACCCUCUUUGUUCUAAAUAUGAGCUGCCAUGUGAUAAAACGUAAUAAUUGAGCCAUUUCUCACUUAGACUCCAAUAGGUUGCAGAAAAGAUAUAGGAAACAAAGGCAAUAUACAGAUUAAGGGAACAAAGGCAAUGCCAAAGUUCAUUACAUUUAAUAGUUCUCAAAGCAAAUUGAAAGCUUAAUUACAUGGAAGAUAAGGUUGGCUUGUAGCUACCAUUUGAAAUAAAAGCAGUAAUUCAAUGAUUAAAUUGAUUGACAUCAUGACAAUAUCAUCAAGUUCAUACCUAGCCAGCUAAGGUAAACAAAUAUAUCUUAGACUCUUAGUCCUAGAGUAGACUACGAAUUUAAUUAAUCAGUACCAACAAUCAUAUCAUAUGAAUAAUCAAUUUUUAUUCUACAGUAAAGUAUGUAGACUACGAAUGUAAUUAAUAAGUACCAACAAUGCAUUUGAAUGAGGGUUUUAGUUAGUUGAAUUGGGGUUCGUUAUGUUAAUGUAUAUAUAAUGUAUCAAUCUUCUUUUAUGUACUUCAAAAAAAAAAAAAUCAAUAAUCAUAGUAUUCAUAUGAAUAAUAUAUAAUCAAUAACCAUAUAAUGUAUAACCCUAUAAUCCUACAUCAAUUAAACAAAAAUUUAUAUUCAAUAAUCAAUUAGGGUUUGAAAUAAAUUAAAAAAUUUACCUUAAUUGGAAUUUGGAGUGGGUGUGCUUGCAGUUGUAGACUGAUGUGUCUGGUCUUGGUGGCUAACAACCAAUGGAAAGUGAAAUCUGCUACAAUCUACAAAAGGUUUUGUCGUGUGGGGAGGGGGGAAAGGGGGGAAAAGGUGGGGGGACUGACGGGAUGGGAUAUGGGGAAAAGGGUGAAGGGUUUUUAAUUUGAAACAGAAUGGGGAUUGAGAUGGGGAUGGGGACCAGUGGUCCCCCCGUUUAUAUUUAUUUUUUAUUUCAUUAAACCAAAACGACACCGUUUACCAAAAAAUUAAA